rnacentral:tmRNA from 1 species
GGGGGCGAUAUGGGUUCGACGGGAAUAGGUAGGAUCCAGAGGAGCAUGUCGAGGUUCCGGUGGCUCGUUAAACAAUCGGAAAAAGAUAGACGCAGACAAUUAUACUCUGCCACUGGCUGCUUAAUAAGUAGCCACGUUCCCCCUGUCACGCCUGUGGGGCUGGAAGGAACGCCAUUUACACAGGAUAGUCUUUUUCUUUCGUCGCUGGGAGAAAGAUGAAAUCAAAGGCGGCUCGGAGUUGUAUGAUCCUGCCAAUAGGAGCAUACAAAACUUAAAUUCAAUAUACUGGCUAAACAUGUAGCCGCCUUUGGGUUCUUUAUUCUCGGACGGGGGUUCGAUUCCCCCCGCCUCCACUU